UACGGAGGGAGCUAGCGUUGUUCGGAAUUACUGGGCGUAAAGCGCACGUAGGCGGCUUUGUAAGUUAGAGGUGAAAGCCCGGAGCUCAACUCCGGAAUUUGCCUUUUAAGACUGCAUCGCUUGAAUCCAGGAGAGGUGAGUGGAAUUCCGAGUGUAGAGGUGAAAUUCGUAGAUAUUCGGAAGAACACCAGUGGCGAAGGCGGCUCACUGGACUGGUAUUGACGCUGAGGUGGCGAAAGCGUGGGAGCAAACAGGAU
rnacentral:rRNA from 1 species